CAGAGCGGUUGCAACAAAGAGGCUGGUGCGACUGUUUAACAAAAACACAGCUCUAUGCUAACUCGCAAGAGGAUGUAUAUGGAGUGACACGUGACCAAUGCCAAAAGGUCAAUGGGAGAGGUUAGCGCAAGCGAAGCUUCGAUCUGAAGCCCUGGUGAAUGUCGGCCGUAACUAUAACGGUCCUAAGGUAGCGAAAUUCCUUGUCGGGUAAGUUCCGACCUGCACGAAUCGUGUAACGAUGCCAGCACUGUCUCAACGUGGAUCUCGGCGAAGUUGUAAUUCCGGUGAAAAUGCCGGAUACCUGCGGAAGGACGGAAAGACCCCAUGAACCUUUACUGUAAUCUGAUAUUGGUAUUUGAUUGCUCUUGUGUAGCAUAGGUGGGAGGCAGUGAAACCGCUACGCCAGUACCGGUGGAGCCACAGGUGAAAUACCACCCUGGUGUAAUUAGAUAUCUAACGGUGUCCCGUGAAUCCGGGCCCCGGACCGUGUCAGAGGGUCAGUUUGACUGGGGCGGUUUCCUCCUAAAUUGUAACGGAGGAGCCCGAAGGUACACUCAGCACGGUUGGCAAUCGUGUGCAGAGCGUAAGGGUAGAAGUGUGCUUUACUGUAAGACCGACAGGUCGAGCAGUUGCGAAAGCAGGGCCUAGUGAUCCAGCGAUGGAAUGUGGAAUCGUCGUUGCUCAACGGAUAAAAGGUACUCUGGGGAUAACAGGCUGAUAGCGCCCAAGCGUCCAUAGCGACGGCGCUGUUUGGCACCUCGAUGUCGACUCAUCACAUCCUGGGGCUGUAGAAGGUCCCAAGGGUUCGGCUGUUCGCCGAUUAAAGUGGUACGCGAGUUGGGUUCAGAACGUCGUGAGACAGUUCGGUCCUUAUCCUCCGCAGGCGCAGGAUAUUUGAUGGGAUCAUUCCUUAGUACGAGAGGACCGGGAAUGACUGACCUCUGGUGUUCCGGUUGUGGCGUCAGCUGCAUUGCCGGGUAGCUAUGUCGGGAACGGAUAAGCGCUGAAAGCAUCUAAGCGCCAAGCCCACCCAAAGACGAGAUAUCCCUUCCCGCAAGGGACUGAAGGCCGGUCGAAGACUACGACCUUGAUAGGACGGAGAUGUAAGCGCAGCAAUGCGUUCAGUUUACCGUUACUAAUCGGCCGUGAGGCUUAACCAC
rnacentral:rRNA from 1 species